rnacentral:rRNA from 1 species
UACAGAGGUCUCAAGCGUUGUUCGGAUUCAUUGGGCGUAAAGGGUGUGUAGGUGGCGCGCUAAGUCGGGUGUGAAAUUUCGGAGCUUAACUCCGAAACUGCAUUCGAUACUGGCAAGCUGGAGGGAGGUAGGGGCGGAUGGAACUUCCGGUGGAGCGGUGAAAUGUGUUGAUAUCGGAAGGAACGCCGGUGGCGAAAGCGAUCCGCUGGACCUCUUCUGACACUGAGGCGCGAAAGCCAGGGGAGCAAACGGG